CCUAUGGGUGGCAGCAGUGGGGAAUAUUGGACAAUGGGCGAAAGCCUGAUCCAGCCAUGCCGCGUGUGUGAAGAAGGCCUUCGGGUUGUAAAGCACUUUCAGUGGGGAAGAAAGCCUUGGGGCUAAUACCCUCGAGGAAGGACAUCACCCACAGAAGAAGCACCGGCUAACUCCGUGCCAGCAGCCGCGGUAAUACGGAGGGUGCGAGCGUUAAUCGGAAUUACUGGGCGUAAAGCGCGCGUAGGCGGUCUGAUAAGCCGGUUGUGAAAGCCCCGGGCUCAACCUGGGAACGGCAUCCGGAACUGUCAGGCUAGAGUGCAGGAGAGGAAGGUAGAAUUCCCGGUGUAGCGGUGAAAUGCGUAGAGAUCGGGAGGAAUACCAGUGGCGAAGGCGGCCUUCUGGACUGACACUGACGCUGAGGUGCGAAAGCGUGGGUAGCAAACAGGAUUAGAUACCCCGGUAGUC
rnacentral:rRNA from 1 species